UUGAACGCUGGCGGCAUGCCUUACACAUGCAAGUCGAACGGUAGAGGGGCAACCCCUUGAGAGUGGCGAACGGGUGAGUAAUAUAUCGGAACGUGCCCAGUCGUGGGGGAUAACGCAGCGAAAGCUGCGCUAAUACCGCAUACGAUCUAAGGAUGAAAGCGGGGGAUCGCAAGACCUCGCGCGAUUGGAGCGGCCGAUAUCAGAUUAGGUAGUUGGUGGGGUAAAAAGCCCCACCAAG
rnacentral:rRNA from 1 species